rnacentral:piRNA from 1 species
UUUGCUAGAAACUGUGUGGGUGG